UGCCCAGCAACUCCUAUCCCUACCUCCUCGCGGUACCGGCCGGCAACUAUGAGCAACCUUAGGGAAGAUCGGGUAACCAACCCCGGUGGGAACUUUGGUCGUAGGCUGACAGGGAAGG
rnacentral:ribozyme from 1 species